rnacentral:rRNA from 1 species
GCCUAAAGCGUCCGUAGCCGGCUUUGUAAGUUUUCGGUUAAAUCCAUAUGCUCAACAUAUGGGCCGCCGGGAAUACUGCAAAGCUAGGGAGUGGGAGAGGUAGACGGUACUCCGUAGGAAGGGGUAAAAUCCUUUGAUCUAUGGAUGACCACCAGUGGCGAAGGCGGUCUACCAGAACACGUUCGACGGUGAGGGAUGAAAGCUGGGGGAGCAAACCGGAUUAGAUACCCGGGUAGUCCCAGCUGUAAACUAUGCAAACUCAGUGAUGCAUUGACUUGUGGUCAAUGCAGUGCUGCAGGGAAGCCGUUAAGUUUGCCGCCUGGGAAGUACGUACGCAAGUAUGAAACUUAAAGGAAUUGGCGGGGGAGCACCACAAGGGGUGAAGCCUGCGGUUCAAUUGGAGUCAACGCCAGAAAUCUUACCCGGAGAGACAGCAGAAUGAAGGUCAGGCUGAAGACUUUACCAGACAAGCUGAGAGGUGGUGCAUGGCCGUCGCCAGCUCGUGCCGUGAGAUGUCCUGUUAAGUCAGGUAACGAGCGAGAUCCCUGCCUCUAGUUGCCACCAUUACUCUCAGGAGUAGUGGGGCGAAUUAGCGGGACCGCCGCAGUUAAUGCGGAGGAAGGAAGGGGCCACGGCAGGUCAGUAUGCCCCGAA